rnacentral:rRNA from 1 species
UACGUAGGGGGCAAGCGUUGUCCGGAUUUAUUGGGCGUAAAGAGCGUGUAGGCGGCCAGACAGGUCCACUGUGAAAACUCGGGGCUUAACCCCGGGCCUGCAGUGGGUACGGGCAGACUAGAGUGCGGUAGGGGAGACUGGAAUUCCUGGUGUAGCGGUGAAAUGCGCAGAUAAUCAGGAGGAACACCGGUGGCGAAGGCGGCAUCCUGGACCAAAUUCUGACGCUGAGGAGCGAAAGCCAGGGGAGCAAACGGGA